UUGAUUAUAUUUUUGUGUUUGACAAGACCUUCGGACUUGUGCCAACGUACCAACAUAAAAAUGAGGGAUUAAAACCUCGUAGUUUGUGGUAACAAUUUCAAAAUGAGUGGGUUGCUUUAAAUCAGAAUUUAAAUUAAAGAGGCACUAAGUGCCUAAAAAAGUUUGAGUGAGUGUUAGUUCUUUUUGUCUUUGAAAAUUUUAAGUCAAUAUGAUUAGAUUCAUUUACAUGUUUGUGUGAGAAAAGAGUUUUAAAAUGCAAUGGCAUAAGGCCAAAGUUU
rnacentral:lncRNA from 1 species